ensembl:lncRNA
GUCUAGAGCCUUCCGCCGCAGCAACAGUCUAUAGCCACUUCUUUAAGCUGCGCGUGCUUCUUACACACGAAAACCAUUAAGCAUCUGUUGUUUUUUUCUUCCCUUUUUUUUUUUUUUUCAAAAUGAGGGAAUGGGCAUUUUCUGUGUUGGGAUGGGACUUGUAGCUUUGACUGCUCCUUCCGGGCAUCUCAGGGACUUCGCUGCUCUUUUUCCUAGGAACGCCCCAGGUUUCCUGUGGGAAGACUCUCGGGGCCGCGGAUUCCUCGGGCCGCCCGCCAGCCGGCGCCCGCCAGUGCCUCCGCGGUCCACGCGAGCCUGCUCGACAUGAGGCGGAGCGUGGCCGAGCUCAGGCUCCAGCUGCGGCAGAUGCGACAGCUCCAGGUACGGCCCGGCGUUCCCGUGGGCGGUGUCCUCUGCCACGGUCUCCUCCCCACCCGCCGCCUCCCGCUCCCCGGCCGCACAGCAUCUUGCCGGUGGCCUUCUCUGCAGCAUCCUUUGGUACGGAUGACUGAGGGCCAGGGUGCAGGCGCGUGCCACCCUGGGCUCCUCCUCACACACAUCAUCUUGGUCUAGAGCCUUCCGCCGCAGCAACAGUCUAUAGCCACUUCUUUAAGCUGCGCGUGCUUCUUACACACGAAAACCAUUAAGCAUCUGUUGUUUUUUUCUUCCCUUUUUUUUUUUUUUUCAAAAUGAGGGAAUGGGCAUUUUCUGUGUUGGGAUGGGACUUGUAGCUUUGACUGCUCCUUCCGGGCAUCUCAGGGACUUCGCUGCUCUUUUUCCUAGGAACGCCCCAGGUUUCCUGUGGGAAGACUCUCGGGGCCGCGGAUUCCUCGGGCCGCCCGCCAGCCGGCGCCCGCCAGUGCCUCCGCGGUCCACGCGAGCCUGCUCGACAUGAGGCGGAGCGUGGCCGAGCUCAGGCUCCAGCUGCGGCAGAUGCGACAGCUCCAGCUGCAGAACCAGGAGCUGCUGAAGGCAAUGAUGAGGAAAGCUGAGCAGGAAAUCAGCAGCAAGGUGAUCGAGACGAUGAAGAGGCUGGAGGACCCUGUGCAGCGCCAGCGGUCCUGGUGGAGCAGGACAGGCAGAAGUACCUGCACGAAGAGGAGAAGAUCGUCCGCAAGCUGUGGUGAGUCUGGCCCUUGCAGUCGGUCCCUGGAUGCGGCAUAGCUGUGCAGCCUGAAAGGCAAGCCUGUCUUGGCCAAGGAGGCGGCCCUUGCUAGACGGUGUUCUCAGACUCUUUCUUUACUGAGCACCUAGUUCUGGCUGGUUCUGGAUAUCCGUGGACACUCGACUAGUGCCCUCCAUCCGAGCUCAGGAAAUUGAACAGUCGUCAGGUAACUGAGCUUAUUAGUCUCUUUGGAAGCAUCGACUGUUCUGUAGGGCUUGGCAACCCAUCAAAUUAAAAGGAGCCAGUGGCACAACCCAAUGAUAAAUGGGAAGUCUGAAUUUAAUCUCAAUAAAUUAAAACUAAUAGCCAAAAUAACAAAGCGCUAAAAUUAUCCUCCUAUUAUUCAACUGUAGUUAAAAUCACAAAGAAGAAUUUCAGUGUAAAGUAUGUCUGAUGCACAAUGAAAGAUGCUGCCUUGAAUGCAACCCAUCUUCUGUGAGGUUCUUAUUGAAAACAUCUAUCAAGUCGCACUACUGAAAUAAGCAGAGUUUUAUUACGCCCCAGCCACCGGGCAGGCCCAUCUGUUAUGUUAAUGUAUGUUUUGUUAUGCAGUGAAGAUUCAUCAUAGAACAGUUUCACCUUUUAGUAUAAUGAAGAGUCAUUUGUGUGGGUUCUUCUAGUGUUGGUAGUUCUCCUGUUUGUGUUUUUUGAGUUUCACAAAAUUAAAAUGGCUUUGUGAAACUCAAAUAUUUAAAGUAUUAAAUAUUUAAAAUACUUUAAAAUCUUUUAGUUUUAUUACAAAACACUGGCAUAUCUCCCAUGUUGUAGAGUGCAUCCUUGUAGCCUGUCUUACACUCAGUGGUUUGAACCUCCUGUUCUCCCACUAGAAUCCCUGUGCUGCCCCACUGAUAAGCACCAGUUUGUUCUCUGUAUCUCUUGAGACCACUGUUUUUUGUUAUAUUCACUAGUUUGUGAAUUUUUAGAUUUCACAUAUAAAUGAUAAGCAUACAGUAUGUUUCUGAUUUGUUGUACUUAGCAUUAUGCCCUCCACACCCACAUGUAAAUGCUGCAAAUAGCAAAAUUCCAUUCUUUUUGUGGCUGAGUAGUAUUCCAUUGUAGAUGGGUAAUUCUCUUGUUUUUGAAAGCAUAAACGUCCCAAAAUGGGAUUGUAAGGAGCAACUUUCAAAUUCUUUCCAUGACUAUAAUCACCAGAAGCUUACAGGAUGGGGAGUGUUAUCCUCAUUGACCUCUUUGAUAUUUGAGCUGUAGCUCAUGUCAAAUCAGAUGCCAACCCAGUGUGCCUGAUUAAAAUUAGAAUACCUUCUCAGUGGUAGUCUAGAGAGUCAGAUAAUAAAUUUGACUACUGUUCAUCAGCAUCUCAAAAAUAGACUCCAAAUUUGUAUUUAGUCCCUGCACUUACAGACAAUCACCCGCCGUGAGGUAGUAAAGCUGUUAUUUGUCUGAAAUGGGUCUGUGACAGCCAGCUGUCUACAACUAGGUCUCAAGGUUCUUCUUGAAAAGUUCUUUUUAAAAAUAUAUAGCCUUAAUGUUUUUAUAGAAUUGCCAGUUACAUUUUUCUUCCAGUUUUAUUGAGAUGUAAUUGACAUGCAGCCCCAUAUAGUUUAAGGUGGACAGCAUAAUUAUUUGACUUCCACACAUCGUGAAAUUAUUGCCACAGUAAGUUUAGUGAAUAUCAUCUCCUAUAGAUACAAAAUUAAAGAAAUACAAAAACUUUUUUGCUUCUGAUGACAACUCUUAGGAUUUACUCUCGUAACAAAUUUCAUAAGUAACAUAUAGCAAUGUUAAUUAUCUUUAUAGUGUUAUUUAUAGUGUUAAUUUAUUUAUAGUGUUUAUAUAGUGUUAUUUAUUUAUAGUGUUGAUUAUAUUUAUAGCCCUUAUACAAGGACUUCUAGUCCUCAUAACUGGAAGUCUGUCGACUUGCUGCCUGCCCCACACUGAAGGUUCUGGCACUGGCAUUGCUGUCCACUUGCUGCCACCUAGUGGUUCUUCAAAUCAAAGCUCUUUUCCUGUUUCUCUACUAGCAGGGUUUCUA